rnacentral:tRNA from 1 species
UCCCUGGUGGCUCAGACGGUAAAGCAUCUGCCUGCAAUGCAGGAGACCCAGGUUCGAUUCCUGGGGGAA